rnacentral:rRNA from 1 species
GCCCUUAGAGUUUGAUCCUGGCUCAAGAUGAACUCUAGCUACAGGCUUAACACAUGCAAGUCGAGGGGCAGCAUGGUCUUAUCUUGCUAAGGCCGAUGGCGACCGGCGCACGGGUGAGUAACGCGUAUCCAACCUGCCUUACACUCUUGGACAGCCUUCUGAAAGGGAGAUUAAUACAAGAUGUUAUCAUGAGUAAGCAUUUUCGCAUGAUUAAAGGUUUACCGGUGUAAGAUGGGGAUGCGUUCCAUUAGAUAGUAGGCGGGGUAACGGCCCACCUAGUCUUCGAUGGAUAGGGGUUCUGAGAGGAAGGUCCCCCACAUUGGAACUGAGACACGGUCCAAACUCCUACGGGAGGCAGCAGUGAGGAAUAUUGGUCAAUGGACGAGAGUCUGAACCAGCCAAGUAGCGUGAAGGAUGAAGGUUCUAUGGAUUGUAAACUUCUUUUAUACGGGAAUAAACGGAUCCACGUGUGGAUUUUUGCAUGUACCGUAUGAAUAAGGAUCGGCUAACUCCGUGCCAGCAGCCGCGGUAAUACGGAGGAUCCGAGCGUUAUCCGGAUUUAUUGGGUUUAAAGGGAGCGUAGAUGGGUUGUUAAGUCAGUUGUGAAAGUUUGCGGCUCAACCGUAAAAUUGCAAUUGAUACUGGCAGUCUUGAGUACAGUUGAGGUAGGCGGAAUUCGUGGUGUAGCGGUGAAAUGCUUAGAUAUCACGAAGAACUCCGAUUGCGAAGGCAGCUUACUAACCUGUAACUGACAUUGAUGCUCGAAAGUGUGGGUAUCAAACAGGAUUAGAUACCCUGGUAGUCCACACGGUAAACGAUGAAUACUCGCUGUAGGCGAUAUACAGUCUGCGGCCAAGCGAAAGCAUUAAGUAUUCCACCUGGGGAGUACGCCGGCAACGGUGAAACUCAAAGGAAUUGACGGGGGCCCGCACAAGCGGAGGAACAUGUGGUUUAAUUCGAUGAUACGCGAGGAACCUUACCCGGGCUUAAAUUGCAACCGAAUAUGGCGGAAACGCUAUAGCUAGCAAUAGCGGUUGUGAAGGUGCUGCAUGGUUGUCGUCAGCUCGUGCCGUGAGGUGUCGGCUUAAGUGCCAUAACGAGCGCAACCCUUGCCGAUAGUUACUAACAGGUCAUGCUGAGGACUCUGUCGGGACUGCCAUCGUAAGAUGUGAGGAAGGUGGGGAUGACGUCAAAUCAGCACGGCCCUUACGUCCGGGGCUACACACGUGUUACAAUGGGGGGUACAGAGGGCUGCUACCACGCAAGUGGAUGCCAAUCCCAAAAACCUCUCUCAGUUCGGAUUGAAGUCUGCAACCCGACUUCAUGAAGCUGGAUUCGCUAGUAAUCGCGCAUCAGCCACGGCGCGGUGAAUACGUUCCCGGGCCUUGCACU